GACGAACGCUGGCGGCGUGCUUAACACAUGCAAGUCGAACGGAAAGGCUCUGCUUUUGUGGGGUGCUCGAGUGGCGAACGGGUGAGUAACACGUGAGUAACCUGCCCUUGACUUUGGGAUAACUUCUGGUAACUGGGGCUAAUACCGGAUAGGAGCUCCUGCUGCAUGGUGGGGGUUGGAAAGUUUCGGCGGUUGGGGAUGGACUCGCGGCUUAUCAGCUUGUUGGUGGGGUAGUGGCUUACCAAGGCUUUGACGGGUAGCCGGCCUGAGAGGGUGACCGGCCACAUUGGGACUGGGAUACGGCCCAGACUCCUACGGGAGGCAGCAGUAGGGAAGAGUGCACAAUGGGCGGAAGCCUGAUGCAGCAACGCCGCGUGCGGGAGGACGGCCUUCGGGUUGUAAACCGCUUGCGCCUGUGACGAAGCGUGAGUGACGGUAAUGGGUAAAGAAGCACCGGCUAACUACGGU
rnacentral:rRNA from 1 species